ACCAGACUCCUACGGGAGGCAGCAGUGGGGGAUAUUGCACAAUGGGGGAAACCCUGAUGCAGCGACGCCGCGUGAGUGAAGAAGUAUUUCGGUAUGUAAAGCUCUAUCAGUAGGGAAGAAAAUGACAGUACCUGACCAAGAAGCCCUGGCUAACUACGUGCCAGCAGCCGCGGUAAUACGUAGGGGGCAAGCGUUAUCCGGAUUCACUGGGUGUAAAGGGAGCGUAGACGGCCAUGCAAGCCUGGAGUGAAAGCCCGGGGCCCAACCCCGGGACUGCUCUGGGAACUGUGCGGCUGGAGUGCGGGAGGGGCAGGCGGAAUUCCUGGUGUAGCGGUGAAAUGCGUAGAUAUCAGGAGGAACACCGGCGGCGAAGGCGGCCUGCUGGACCGCGACUGACGUUGAGGCUCGAAAGCGUGGGGAGCAAACAGGAUUAGAUACCCCUGUACG
rnacentral:rRNA from 1 species